UGAGUACUACAUGUAAAAUAGUUCAUCAGAAGACAUCACUGUAUAUGAAUCUUAAAUACUUAAGUGUGAUAAAUCCCAGUUCAAAGUAACUAGUGCAAUCAUUCCAGGUACAAAAUCACUAGUCAGUAGUGUAAUAAUUCCUGGUUCAAAAUCACUAGUGUUAUUGUAAGCCAUAAUAGUGUCCUGUGAAAAAGUGUCCAGUUGGACAGUUUUUCAUAGAAUUUUGGUAUUUAAUAAUGUCCAUUGCCAUGAUAUAUUGUCCCUCAAGUAGACAGAUUUUUACUGCAAAAGUUAUGAAAUAGUGUCCACCCACAGGACAAGUUUUCAUACUAGUUGCUAUUAAAUUGUGUCCUCCAAGGGAAGUAAUACAAAGGUCAUUAAAAAGUUUUAUUGUACUUGAAAUUUUAAUAAAAUCAGAAGGAUUGAGUAGAAAUUGAUUUAUAUAAACAAACAAAUAAUGGAUGGAAGUGAAUAUAGAUACAUUUAAGUUCUAAGAAAUACCCAGCUAAUGCUAAUAACAAUGAAAGAAGAACAAUAAGAAGGGAGUGUGUAAAGUAUAAAAUCAAAUCUCCGUGCCUAGACUGCAGUUUUUGGCAAUUCUCAACAUUAGGAAAGAAAACUUGAAAGAAAACUUGAAACAGCAACCAAGAUACAGAUACAUGUACAUAUGCCCUUAAAGUUUUUGAUGAAGUUAAGAGCAAGAUACUAUCCCAUCCAGCAGUGAUACGGUAUGACCAAUUCCCAGACAAUAUGACAAAGAAUAACAAUUGGACACCAACAGUUCACAUAUGAGAAGAUGUUUUUAGGACUUCAUACAUGUACAGGAGCUUCUAAGGAGGAAUUGAAAAGAAGAUUGCAUUAUCCUUAACUUCACAUUUUGCUAUAAAGAUGAUUUCCUUUUAUUGAAUAAUUCAAAGAAUGGUGACUUUGUUGAACGCAUGUAUCCCAUUGAACUUGAAAUAAAGGAUUCAACAGAUACAGGUGAAUCCUUGCUGGGUCAUUGAAAAACCUACUGGAAGUUCUUCUGAUACUGGAAAUUGAAAACAAAUGGUCAUUUUGGAAGAAAAUUGAUAGAGGAAAGAUACAGAUAUACAAGAAUUUCAUAUUUGAAAUGCACUUAAUAUUUCUUUUGUAUAUGAUCACCAAAUUUUGGCAGUCAAAUAAGGCCAAUUAAAAUUAAUUGAUAGAUUUUCAUCCCCACCCGCCCCUCUGAAAAUGUCCCGCUGCGAUUUUUUUUAAUGUUAAAAAUAUACGAUUUCCGGAUUUUGUUCAUUUACGUUACCGGUAACCGCCGAUAAUUUCGAUUCAUUUAAACUUCCUUUUUCAAAUUUCGGUUUUCGUAUUUCUUCGAGUAAUAUAAGUCGACAUAUUCUUCUGCUCAAUGAUGACAACAUUAUCUUUUGAGAAUAUAGAUUGAUUACUAUAGAAGGACAUAAAUUAUUCGGCUUACGAGUAAUUGGCGUUGUCCAAGAACGGUAAUCACGGUUUGUCACAAAUUUCAGUGAAUAUAAAACCGUCGAUUAUUUUAUUUAUACAAUGACAUUGUGUAAGGAAAUUUAGACUGUGAAUGAUAUCCAAAGCGCAAAAAUUGUGGAACACAUUGAUACAAAAUCAUGACUGGAAUAAAGAAAUUAACACAAGCACGAACUUGUGCGAUUUAUGACCGUAUAUUGAGUACAAAGAGUCGGCCAACGUACAAAAUGUAUUAUAGCUGCCAUGGCUUAGAUUUACCUCCAAAGCUGUCAUUUCAGCCCUUCAAUAGAGUUAUUAAAUAACUUUUUUUUUUUGGUUCAGUUCAUGUUUUACAUUGUAAUUAUAUUUGCACCUUGCAUAAGAAUCUUAAAAGCAUGAACCCUAGUAUUUUCAACACAGUUUGAGUUUUCAUUUCACUCUGUACUCAUAAUAUUUGUGUUGCAUACCAAUGCAUAUGCUUCAUUUUAUGGGCACUAUAAAUCAUAACUUAGAAAGCAAAAAAUGAUCUAUGUAGUCUAAAAGAGAACAUUUUUCCACGUUUUUGCUAUUUACUAAAAAUUGGUUUCUAAAGCGGCAAUUACAUGUAGAACAAUGGUUGCCAAUCGGAAAUAUUGAUUUAAGAAUUAAAACAAAAAUGUAGAAUUCCUUAUAUAAACAUGAUAUAAGCUUAUUAUUACCCUUGUACAUUGUGUAUAUGAACAACACGUCUCAAAAUGGUUAAGGAGGAAAUAAAAAUUAAAAAAAUAAAUCCUCCCACCCGCCCCAUUUUUUUCAAAAAUCUGGAUGAAAAUCUUCUUAUUAAUUUUAGUUGGCCUAAUGGUAUCAUUGUUAUCUUUGCCAUAUAAACAAAUAUACCUGGUAAAAUUUGUUCAUUAGAGGAAACUUUAAUUACAAAUAUCUAUUCACAUUAAAUUUAGAUGAUUUUUUUACCAAUUUUUUAAUUUUAAAAAUAAAUCAAUUGUUUUUAUUCUGUGGGAUUCAAAAUGUUUUGCCAUUUAUGAUAAUCUAUUUAUUUUGAAUAGUCUGAAAUACAUUUCAUGAAAAUUUCAAAUUCAAAAUAAGGCCUCUACAGUGCAUACUCCAUCACAAAUUGAGGUAAUGUUAGUAUUGAUUCUGAGGUAAAGGAGUAGGGGCAUUAAGGCCCAGUUUUGGCACAAGAAAAUAAAAUGUUUGACAACUUUUUCAAAUUGGCACAUAAUGUUUGGAAAUGCAUUGAGUGAAGAAAUAUAAAUGAAAAACAUAAGAUUGUUUAUAUGAUGACGUCACAGUUACGUCAUAAUAUGUACCGUUUUCAUGAAAAAGAUGAAAAAUGCAGAAUUUUCGCAAUUUUUCAUCGUUAUUUCCAUUACGGAAACAUCGUGCGCAGCCAAGAAACAACAAAAUAAUUUAAGAGAAGCUUUAUUAUAACUAUUGAAAUAAUCUCACCAAAUAUAAAGUUGUUUCUUGGGUGCGCACAUACUUUGCCAAUCUUAAAUAUACUUAGAAUUUGAUGAAAAACAAGGAAAUUCAAGAAAUUUUAUAAAAUAUACAAAUUUCGUCAUGGUUUGUUGCCAUGGUAGCUCGUUUAAUGUGAAAUUUGUUUUUAUUUUCUGAAAACCUUGUACCUUAGUCUAGUUAGGACAAAUUUAAGGAUAUGUAUGAUAACUUUUAAAUUUGCAGUAAUAUUUGGGCCAAAUAAGGGGCUUAUUGCCCCUGCUCCUUUGUUGCAUUUAUUAUUUUAAUGCGGUCAACAUAUUGCUAGGUCAUCAUAUUAGUGUGUCCAGCAUAUUGUGGAUUCAUGAACAGUAAUGAGUGCAAAUUAGCAUAAAUAUGUGGUCAAUUUAUGCUGAGACUACAUAAUUUUUUAUUUUGGUUAUUAUUAUUAGUAUCCACAGUUGUUGUGCAUCAUAAAUUUUUAGAAAUGUCUUCUUAUAACAGCAUUUUAACAAAAACUUAUAUAUAGAUGUAUUAAGAUAAAUUUAGUAACUUGUAUUAGGACGUCAGCAAAAAUUGAUAAAUAAUAUAGGCCUAUUAUGUAUUCCAUGGGACAGAUUUUGUUUUAGUCCAUUUUUGUAUAAAUGUUGCACCUUUAUUUUAUCUUUUUCUAGAUUUUAUAUGUGGCUCCACUCCUCACCCAUUGACAUGCUGGUUAAAAAGUAAAGAACACUAUAUAUAUAUGAAUAUUUCAGCAAAUUAUGGUGGCAAAUCUGUUAACUUUUUUAGAAUAGUCAUAAAUUUUGCCAAAUUAUGCAAAAAAUAUUGUUUUAACAAAAACCCACAUACAUUUUAGUGGAAAAGCCCUCACAAACUUUCAUUGCUUAUUAGCAUAGAUGCAACAAGAACAUUAACUAGUUGAUUUAUAAAUUGUAAUGUUUGUGACUCAUGUUGACUGAAAUGACAUUGUAUGAAAUAAAGUUUGUGCCAAAAAAUAUUA